UACGGGGGGGGCAAACGUUGUUCGGAGUUACUGGGCGUAAAGGGCACGCAGGCGGUGCGGCGCGUUUCGCGUGACAGCGGAGGGCUUACCUCUCCGAGGAUGCGAAAGACGGCAGCACUUGAGGGCCAGUGAGGGACACGGAAUCCCGGGUGGAGUGGUGAAAUGCGUAGAGAUCCGGAGGAACACCGAAGGCGAAGGCAGUGUCCUGGCUGGUGACUGACGCUGAGGUGCGAAAGCUAGGGGAGCGAACGGG
rnacentral:rRNA from 1 species